CCCAGUAAACGGCGGCCGUAACUAUAACGGUCCUAAGGUAGCGAAAUUCCUUGUCAGGUAAGUUCUGACCCGCACGAAUGGCGUAAUGACUUGGGCACUGUCUCAACUGCAAAUCCGGCGAAGUUGUAGUGCGAGUGAAGAUGCUCGCUACCCGCGAUUGGACGGAAAGACCCCGUAGAGCUUUACUGUAGCUUAGCAUUGAAUUCCGGUAUUGUCUGUACAGGAUAGGUGGGAGACUGGGAAACUAGGGCGUCAGCCUUAGUGGAGUCAACCUUGGGAUACCACCCUGACAGUACUGGGGUUCUAACAGGACGCCAUGAAUCUGGUGACUGGACAUUGUUAGGUGGGCAGUUUGACUGGGGCGGUCGCCUCCUAAAAAGUAACGGAGGCGCCCAAAGGUUCCCUCAGAACGGUCGGAAAUCGUUCGAAGAGUGCAAAGGCAGAAGGGAGCCUGACUGCGAGACCUACAAGUCGAGCAGGGACGAAAGUCGGGCUUAGUGAUCCGGUGGUUCCGCAUGGAAGGGCCAUCGCUCAACGGAUAAAAGCUACCCUGGGGAUAACAGGCUGAUCUCCCCCAAGAGUCCACAUCGACGGGGAGGUUUGGCACCUCGAUGUCGGCUCAUCACAUCCUGGGGCUGUAGUAGGUCCCAAGGGUUGGGCUGUUCGCCCAUUAAAGUGGUACGCGAGCUGGGUUCAGAACGUCGUGAGACAGUUCGGUCCCUAUCCGUCGCAGGCGUAGGAAAUUUGAGGAGACCUGUCCUUAGUACGAGAGGACCGGGAUGGACGUACCGCUGGUGUACCAGUUGUUCUGCCAAGGGCAUGGCUGGGUAGCUAAGUACGGAAAGGAUAAGCGCUGAAAGCAUCUAAGCGCGAAGCCCACUUCAAGAUAAGAUUUCCCACCGCAAGGUUAAGAUCCCAGGAAGACUACCUGGUUGAUAGGUCAGAGGUGUAAGUGCAGUAAUGUAUUUAGCUUACUGAUACUAAUAGAUCGAGGACUUGACCAA
rnacentral:rRNA from 1 species